CUUAUAGCUGUUUACACCUCUGAUGUUUUCUGAAAGGUUGGUUAAACCAUGGAAUACUUUUAAUAGCUCCAGCUUCCCCAUGUGAAAAAAAAAGUCCCAAUAGUAUCUUAAAUGUGCAAAUAAAGGACAUUGCACCAGUGGAUAAAAUAUAACCAUAAGAUUUAUAAUAUUGGUGGUAUUGUGUUAUUGUUCUUAGCUAUAUUUUAAGACCUUUAACAUACUUCUCUUAGAUGAUUUCAAAAACAGAUCCUUUUAAUUAAUAGAAACAAAAUUAAAACAAACAAUUUUCAGAAGGUAUUAGCCUUCUCUGGCAGGUUUGUGAAUUGUGUAGUAUAAGAAGACUAAUGGAGGAAAUUUUGAUGUACUUAGGUAUUAAUUCAUUUUUAUGUAUUUGUCUUUCCUCAUUCUGAAAAUGAUUUAAGAUGCCUAAAAACAACACAAUGUGAUUUUUAAAAAUUAAAAAUCACUCAAUGAGGAAAUGCAGGCAAAUAAAUGAAAGAAAGGAUAGACUGGUGAUUAGUACAAAAGCUACUGGCCAUGUGGUUUAGUAUAUGUGUUGUUUUGUCUAUGAUUCAGAAUUCAUUUUCAGUGAAACAGUUGUCCAAAUGGCUAUGGGCCAACAGAGAUUCUACUUUUCAAAGUCUGAGAAGGAAUAAAGCGGUACUGACCUGUUUCCCCUGGAAAGUACUUCUUGGACCCCACCAUGAUGGUAGGUGGCCCAGUCUAUUGGGCUGAAGUUCUGCAUUUGACAGCCUGUACAGCCAGAGCUUAAUAACUGGUGAGAUUCUGGCAGAGGAAAAAGGGUAUUCUCGGUAGAAUGAAAGUUAAACUUUCUUCUCUAUCAUUCUGUAUACCCUGCAUAUGGUCAUCACAGAUAAUGCCUGCCAGAAAAGCUUCACGAGCCUCCCAAGGCAAAAGCAUAUCAGAAGAAAAUAGCCUCAGCAAUAAUGUAAAUAGCAGCUUUUAUUGUAGAUAGGAACACUUGAAUCUACAGAGAGGAUUUCCAAGGUCAUGACUGUGUAGCUCUUCUCUCGCUCUGAUUUUUACCCAGGGAUGAUCGAUGUCAAGAAUGACAAAUAGAUUUUCAUAUUGAGUUACAACUUAGCUCAACUGUUAAUUGGUAGUUGAUAGCUAACGCUGUACAUUGAGCAAGAUUCUGUGCCUGAAUCUGGCCCCAGUGGGAAAGACUAAUGUGAUCAAUUAAUGAUACUGACCGAGAGAGUGGGAAUAAGAGUGGUGGCGAGUGCAUUGAGCAUAUCUGGUUUCAAGAGUUUUCUGUUUCUUUUAAAUUCUGAUUAUACCCCAGAGUUGUAGGAAAUUGACCUUAUGGUACCUAUACUUCUUUCCUAAGACCUUUUAGAAAGGGUAAUGAGAAGUCAAAUAUUUUCUCGAUGCUAUAUAAGGAAAGACUCAUGUCUUUCCCCCAUUCUGUGAUUGCUUCCAUGUGUACCUGUUGUGAAAAAAGUACCAAUAUGAACAACAGCAUAUUCCAUAUAUUGAAGAAAAUUCUCUAAUUUAAACAGAAUUGAUCUGGAUUGCAGAUAAAGAGCAAUAAAAGGGAUCCAUAUCCAGGAUUAUGCAUUUUCUGUCAUUACAUUACAGAUCUUUCCAUUAUAUUAAUUUGCUAUUAAGACAGAAAUAGGCAGUUAUGACAAUCUUCUGCUUCUUGUAUGUAGGUGGUUUCCAAUUUUAGACUCUUCCUAUUAUGGAUGGUAGAAUGAUUUCGAGUCCAAGUAAGUCAUGUUUGUCUUUUAAGAUUCUGGAGGUAUUACUUAAUCCUCUAGGAAUAUGAAAAGUAUUGUGGACAUUAUCAUGAUUGAAAGGGUAAACACAGAUGUGUGUUGCCAGUGAAUUUUUGAGCAUGAAUAGUGUGAGAACAUCAUCAAUGGAAUUCCAAGAACUUAAAAUGCUGUGGGAAACUGGCUUUCAAAAAGUUACACAACAUCUGACAUGCAAUUAUCCUUCCACUAAUCAUUUCGCUAAGAGUCAGUACUGUUCAUAAGGCUAGUUGGUUGCUUAAAAGCGUUUAGAGAAGAACAUUUAAAGCUAUAAUGAAAUUGUAACUGUAGACUGAAAUUUGUAGUUGAAGAUAAUGAUAGAAUUCUGGCAGUUACCACUAAUUUUCAUAUAUAAAUGUGUACGGCAUGUUGAUCCAUGACUGGAGUCAUUUGUGAUGGUGUAAAAGAUCAUAAAACUUGCUUAGAGAGCUAAGGCUUCCCAGAAUUGGCAGGUAAAUUUCUUUUAAAGAUGUUGAAUGUAUUUACAUUUUUAUUAUUGAAAUAGAAAUCUGUUUGGUAGGAAGAGAGCAGGUGUCUCUGAAGAGAUAUCACAGUGGGAAAUGUUUAUGGAAUUUCCAUACUUGGUUUCUACCCAAUAGUACAUAUUUCAUAACAUUUCAGCUAAAUUAACACAUUCAUUUUUGUGUUAUAUGGGGGUGGGAAAGAACUAACCUUUUUAGUUUUUGAAAAUUAAUCACACAUUUUUAGCUUUCAUUUUCUUUUGAACUGAAAAAUAAAAGUUGCAAAUAUGAACUUCCACCUUGGAAAGAUUAAAAACUCAUUCAGGUAUGGAGAAAAUCAAUAUCAAGACAGGAGAAAAAGGAAAUGAGAAGGCUAAAUUCUGAAGGUUGGAAAUGUGACUCCUGUGCACAAUGAGUCCUAUCUUUUCAAUGUUAUCCCUGGUAGCUGCUGAUCCCCACAAAGGACGACUGUGCUUUCAGAGAAUCUCAUAAUCAUCAUUGAUACCUCUAAGGUGGGUAUUUAGAAGACGAAAACUUGACAUGGUACUUGAGAAAAGCUACCCGACUGGGAAUAUGCAUUAGGUUAUGUGAAUAAGAAGUAAAUUUUUAUUGUACUAAGUCAAUGAGUUUUGAAUUGGUUAGUUGCAGCUGCUAGCAUCAUUUUAAAUAACAUGAACUAUUCUUAUAAUCUCUAGAAAUUUCUCCUAAGUUUCUGAGAAUAAUAACAAAUUAAGUAAAACAAUGUUCUUGCUAGGUAAAGCCAGCUUUCAAGCAAGUGUUCUAAACCCCAAAUCCCUCCUCUAGAGAAAUUAUAGAAGAGCCUCUAAUUCUCCCCUCUCUCACAUACUUACUUCCACUAAAGGGUUCACAGGAAAGAAUAUACCCACUACAAAGGUGCCAUAUAGAAUGGAUUACCUAGCAAAUAGGACCUGGAAAAAUUGUAACAAAGUAAGAAACAUAUAUGUGGAUUCUGCCCCAGAUUCCUGGCACAGAGAGCUCCUAAAACCCUUGUGUAUAGGGGUGGUAGGAUAAUUUUUGUUCUAAUAUUUAGUCUUUGACUCAGGUUUCUGACACAGAGCUCCUAAGACCUUUGUAAUUUUCUGAGUGAUAGGAGCAUCUGACACAGAGCUCCUAUAUUUCUCGGAAUUUCCUGGAUGAGGAGUCUCUUUUGUUUUCUGGUUGCCAAGGAACCAACAAUGUGAUUACAAUAUUGGAAACUUCAGGUCCUGUCCCCCAAUCCCUGGACCUCAGAGGAGAACAUAGGGGCUGAAGGCUGAGUUGAUCACUAAUUCCAAUGAUUGAAUCAAUCAUAUCUAUGUAAUUAUGCCUCCAUAAAAUCCCAAAAUGACUGAUUUCAAAGAACUUCUCAGUUAGUAAACGUAACUGCAUGCCAGGAGGCUGAUGCACUCCAGCUCAACCGGGAUGGAAAAUCCUACACUCAAGGCUCUUCCAGACCUUACCAUAUGUAUCUCUUCAUCUAGCUGUUCAUCUGAUUCUUCAUUAUACCCUUUAUUAACAAACUGGUAAACAAAGUGUUUCCGUGAGUUCUAUGAGACACCAUAGCAAAUUAAUUGAACUCAAAGGAAGGGGCCAUGGGACUCCACUUUUUAUAGCCAGUUGGUCAGAAGCAUAGGUCACAACCUGGGGCAUACAAUUGGCAUCUUAAGUUUGGGCAGUUUUGUGGGACUGAGACCUCAACCUGUGGGAUUUGAUGCAAUCUCCAGGUAGCUGUGUCAGUAUUGAACUAAAUCGGAGGACACCCAGCUGGUAUCCACUGCAGAAUUGCUUGGUGCAUGAGAGACGCUUCACAGGCACCUGGUCGCAGAAGUGUUAAGCAGGUGUGUGAGUAGAAAAAACAGUAUGGUUUUUCUAUCCCUCAUAUAUUCCCAACUCAGUUCGAGGUACUCCUAGUUUUCGAACAAGCAAACAAAACAAUGAGCACCUUAACACUGAGCGCUAUCUUAAGAAAACUGACUUACAGGCCUAAGAAAGUCAAGAUGCUUUAUCUCAGGUAACAGGUUGUACAGUAAGGUUCCUGGAUAUUUUGUUUAUUUGCUCAUUUGCCUUUUUUGCAUGGAGUAUCAAAGCAAUAAAAAAUUUUAUGCCAGGAUAAUAGUGUGGCUGGAACAUGAAAUUUAUAGAAGCAAUAAAAGCAAUGAUUUAUGUUCUAAACUAAAAGGGUAAUCACAUGAUCAAAGAGUGGCAGAAUCAAAAGUCAAGACUGCUGUCAGUCAUCUGGAAGUUUUCAAAUAUUCAGAUAUUUGGCAGUAAACAAAAGGUUUGAAUAAGUCACAAUUUUUUCUUUAGCUUUUGAGAAAUUUAUUUUGGUAUGUACAUUAAAUAUUAAUUGAGAUAAUAUAUUUCACAUAUGCAUUUUAAAUUGUACGGUAAUGUAGUAAUACCACUAUUUUAAAACCUUCCGAUACAGCUUUGGGAAGGUAGCCAUUCAAAAUAUACUUUAAAUUUGUUAUUGCCUGAUAGAUUCUGCCCUUAUUAAAAACAUCUCUCCAGAGAUACGACAAUGGAGUAAUUUUACUGAAACAUUUCUUAUUUAAUUUUUCCCAGAAUAUUCUGAACGACCAUAUGGAAAUGCAAAUUUGUCAACUAAGUGAAGAUUUUAUGUAGUCAUUGAAGGCGAAAUAUUAAAAUGCAACUGUGAAUCUAGACUCACAAGUUAAAAGAAAAAGAAAAUCAGGCGGAGUCCUAAACAAAUUAAGGCUGCUCUGGUUCAUGCUCUGGCAUUAGUGUUCCAUAUGAAUUUUGCUAAAACACCUGCAAGUAUUAGAAUUUGUGGUCAACAAUUGUGGAUAGGUUACAUUUUAUUUGAAUCCAAGAUACUUUUAAUCGCUCUGGGUCUGCAUUAUUGAUAAGAUCCAUUGAAAGAAAAGAUAGAAUCCUUGAAUUUAUAUUCUUUUUAUGAGAUUCCUAGAUAAGAAUUUUAGGAUAAUUAUGGUGGGGGAAUUGCCAGUUUAGCUUAACUGGGUGAUAGCCUUUGCCUCACAUAAAUAACAGUAACAAUAAGUAGUUAGCAUAUAUCAGCCAUUGGUCUUAGGUGCUAUGCAGAAUGGUUUUUGAAGAAAUAAAACACAUUCCAUAUUUUUGAAAAAGCUAACAAUCUAUUUAUGUUUUGAAAAGCAAAUGCCGUAAGGAUUGAUGUAAAACAAAAUAUUAAAAUGUAAGUAUUAUGGGGAUGCCAAAGAAGACUGGCAUUAAUGGGUAAUAUUGACUCUGAAGAGCUGAAUAUUUGAGGUUGAUCUUAAAGUGUUAUGAUGGGCAUAAAUUAGUGAAGGGUAGGGAGGUAGUGUUUCAGACUACAGCAGGGUAAGAACAGGGAAGAAACGCUAGUGGAAAUUUACAUUUACAGACUUUUUCCUUUAGGUGAGAGUUUAAUUUAUGUCAAGAAUGCAGCAUCUAGGAAUUGUACAUUUUGUGCCUCUUUCAGCAUAUUUUUUAGUUCGUAAUUUUCCUCUGGCCCUGGUUAUAAGAUAUUUAUGCUUGACUGUGCUCAUUGUUUUUUGUGAACUUAUAAAAAUUACUUUUUUAUUAGUCUAUAAAAGCCAUGUUUGGAGACAGCCUAAAAUAAAAAUUAAUGCAACUUAUCACCCUACAGCAUGGAGCAAGUGCCUGUUUCAGUCUCUUAUUUAAGCACCACAGAUGCGUUGAAACCUAAUAAAAACUGUUCCUUGGCCCAUCAACCCUAACCAGAGAGUAAGAAGCUAAAAGUCUGUGAAUUGCCUACAACCAAAGGGAAAUCUUUUGAGAGCUGCAUUGUUAAAACUCUGAGGACAGAAGUUGCUUUGGAUCGAAUGGACCAUAUUGCUUAUACCACUAAUUAUGAUCCAUUGCCAAAAAAGAGCCACAGAUACCCUCCAUACUGUUGGACUACUGUUUCUUUGUUGUGGAUAAUUCUACCUGAGGCAAGCUUCCCUUCUUUUGGGGACUUGGAAUCGCUGGUCAUUUCAGAUCAAGGAGCAGAGGAAGUAAGCAUGUUUAUCUACUCCACAGCCCAGAAGGUGUCAACCUCAGGCUGUUCCCAAGCAGUAAGGUCAAUUUCAGUCUAAAGUCCCUGAUUUCAAAGUGGCCCUGUUGUCAAUGGAGCUCUUCUGUUGUCAGAAGGGGGAGAGAAAAGGCAAAAAGAUUCUUCUUUCCAACAUGAAUUCAAGUUACCCUGCAAGCUGAACCUUCUUAAUGGCACAUUUGCCCCCAAAGACAUAGUUCCCUCUUCUAUGUCCAAGUCUACAAUGCUUAUGACACACAUUUCUGAUAAUAUGGCUCUACCCCAGAGAUUUAAGAUUGCUAGAAACUGGGACAAGAGAAUGCCUGUUAGCUGAUGCCAAUGCUUUGCUUUCCCAAUAUUUUCUCUUCCUGUGAU